rnacentral:rRNA from 1 species
UACGGGAGGCAGCAGUGGGGAAUAUUGCACAAUGGGCGCAAGCCUGAUGCAGCCAUGCCGCGUGUAUGAAGAAGGCCUUCGGGUUGUAAAGUACUUUCAGUCGUGAGGAAGGUGUUAAGGUUAAUAACCUUAGCAAUUGACGUUAGCGACAGAAGAAGCACCGGCUAACUCCGUGCCAGCAGCCGCGGUAAUACGGAGGGUGCGAGCGUUAAUCGGAAUUACUGGGCGUAAAGGGCACGCAGGCGGUUAAUUAAGUUGGAUGUGAAAUCCCCGGGCUUAACCUGGGAAUGGCAUUCAAGACUGGUUAGCUAGAGUCUUGUAGAGGGGGUUAGAAUUCCAUGUGUAGCGGUGAAAUGCGUAGAGAUGUGGAGGAAUACCGGUGGCGAAGGCGGCCCCUGGACAAAGGACUGACGCUCAUGUGCGAAAGCGUGGGGAGCAAACG